UACGUAGGUGACAAGCGUUGUCCGGAUUUACUGGGCGUAAAGAGCGCGCAGGCGGUCGAUCAAGUCGAGUGUGAAAGCCCCCGGCUCAACUGGGGAGGGUCAUUCGAUACUGAUCGACUCGAAGGCAGGAGAGGGUAGUGGAAUUCCCGGUGUAGUGGUGAAAUGCGUAGAUAUCGGAAGGAACGCCGGUGGCGAUAGCGACGUGCUGGACCCCUUCUGACGCUGAGGCGCGAAAGCCAGGGGAGCAAACGGG
rnacentral:rRNA from 1 species